rnacentral:rRNA from 1 species
CAGUCGCCGCGGUAAAACAGAGGGUGCAAGCGUUAAUCGGAAUUACUGGGCGUAAAGCGCGCGUAGGUGGUUUGUUAAGUUGGAUGUGAAAUCCCCGGGCUCAACCUGGGAACUGCAUCCAAAACUGGCAAGCUAGAGUAUGGUAGAGGGUGGUGGAAUUUCCUGUGUAGCGGUGAAAUGCGUAGAUAUAGGAAGGAACACCAGUGGCGAAGGCGACCACCUGGACUGAUACUGACACUGAGGUGCGAAAGCGUGGGGAGCAAACAGGAUUAGAUACCCCUGUAGUCCCUGUCUCUUAUAC